AUUGAACGCUGGCGGCAGGCCUAACACAUGCAAGUCGAGCGGAUGAAGGGAGCUUGCUCCUGGAUUCAGCGGCGGACGGGUGAGUAAUGCCUAGGAAUCUGCCUGGUAGUGGGGGAUAACGUCCGGAAACGGGCGCUAAUACCGCAUACGUCCUGAGGGAGAAAGUGGGGGAUCUUCGGACCUGACGCUAUCAGAUGAGCCUAGGUCGGAUUAGCUAGUUGGUGGGGUAAAGGCCUACCAAGGCGACGAUCCGUAACUGGUCUGAGAGGAUGAUCAGUCACACUGGAACUGAGACACGGUCCAGACUCCUACGGGAGGCAGCAGUGGGGAAUAUUGGACAAUGGGCGAAAGCCUGAUCCAGCCAUGCCGCGUGUGUGAAGAAGGUCUUCGGAUUGUAAAGCACUUUAAGUUGGGAGGAAGGGCAGUAAGUUAAUACCUUGCUGUUUUGACGUUACCAACAGAAUAAGCACCGGCUAACUUCGUG
rnacentral:rRNA from 1 species